rnacentral:rRNA from 1 species
GACGAACGCUGGCGGCGUGCUUAACACAUGCCAGUCGAACGGUGAAGCGCCUUCCUUUUUGGUGGGUGUGGAUGAGUUGCGAACGGGUGAGUAACACGUGAGUAACCUGCCCCCUUCUUCUGGAUAACCGCAUGAAAGUGUGGCUAAUACGGGAUAUUCUGGGUCUGUCGCAUGAUGGGUCUGGGAAAGAUAUUGUUUCGGUGGGGGAUGGGCUCGCGGCCUAUCAGCUUGUUGGUGGGGUGAUGGCCUACCAAGGCGGUGACGGGUAGCCGGCCUGAGAGGGUGGACGGUCACACUGGGACUGAGACACGGCCCAGACUCCUACGGGAGGCAGCAGUGGGGAAUAUUGCACAAUGGGCGCAAGCCUGAUGCAGCGACGCCGCGUGAGGGAUGGAGGCCUUCGGGUUGUGAACCUCUUUCGCCAGUGAAGCAGGCCUGCCUCGUUUGUGGGUGGGUUGACGGUAGCUGGAUAAGAAGCGCCGGCUAACUACGUG